rnacentral:rRNA from 1 species
AACGAACGCUGGCGGCAUGCCUAACACAUGCAAGUCGAACGAUCCCUUCGGGGAUAGUGGCGCACGGGUGCGUAACGCGUGGGAAUCUGCCCUUGGGUUCGGAAUAACAGUUAGAAAUGACUGCUAAUACCGGAUGAAGUCUUCGGACCAAAGAUUUAUCGCCCAGGGAUGAGCCCGCGUAGGAUUAGGUAGUUGGUGAGGUAAAGGCUCACCAAGCCGACGAUCCUUAGCUGGUCUGAGAGGAUGAUCAGCCACACUGGGACUGAGACACGGCCCAGACUCCUACGGGAGGCAGCAGUGGGGAAUAUUGGACAAUGGGCGCAAGCCUGAUCCAGCAAUGCCGCGUGAGUGAUGAAGGCCUUCGGGUCGUAAAGCUCUUUUACCCGGGAUGAUAAUGACAGUACCGGGAGAAUAAGCUCCGGCUAACUCCGUGCCAGCAGCCGCCGUAAGAC